AGGGGUUUGAUCCUGGGCUCAGGACGAACGUUGGCGGUGUGGAUUAGGCAUGCAAGUCGUGCGUGAAAGCCUUCGGGCGAGUAAAGCGGCGAACGGGUGAGUAACACGUAAUCAACCUACCCCUGAGACCGGAAUAACCACGGGAAACGGUGGGUAAUGCCGGAUGGUCCGCUCAGUUGGCAUCAACCGAGCGGUAAACGGUAGCUCUGCUAUUGCUAAGAGAGGGGAUUGCGGCCUAUCAGCUUGUUGGGGGGGUAACGGCCCACCAAGGCGAUGACGGGUAACCGGUCUGAGAGGACGAUCGGUCACACUGGGACUGAGACACUGCCCAGACUCCUACGGGAGGCUGCGGUCGAGAAUCUUCCGCAAUGGACGAAAGUCUGACGGAGCGACACCGCGUGCAGGAUGAAGGCCUUCGGGUUGUAAACUGCUGUCACGCCAUAGGAAAUCUGUACGGCCAAAACCGUGCGGUUGACCAAAGCGAGAGGAAGCACCGGCUAACUCCGUGCCAGCAGCCGCGGUAAGACGGAGGGUGCAAACGUUGUUCGGAAUCACUGGGCAUAAAGCGCACGUAGGCGGCUUGCUAAGUCGGAUGUGAAAGCCCCCGGCUCAACCGGGGAAUUGCAUUCGAUACUGGCAGGCUUGAGGACGGUUGGGGUGAGUGGAACUCCUGGUGGAGCGGUGAAAUGCGUAGAUAUCAGGAGGACACCAGUGGCGAAAGCGGCUCACUGGACCGUUUCUGACGCUGAGG
rnacentral:rRNA from 1 species